rnacentral:rRNA from 1 species
CCUACGGGCGGCACCAGUGGGGAAUAUUGGACAAUGGGCGCAAGCCUGAUCCAGCAAUGCCGCGUGUGUGAGGAAGGUUUUCGGAUUGUAAAGCACUUUCAGCGGGGACGAUGAUGACGGUACCCGCAGAAGAAGCCCCGGCUAACUUCGUGCCAGCAGCCGCGGUAAUACGAAGGGGGCAAGCGUUGCUCGGAAUGACUGGGCGUAAAGGGCGCGUAGGCGGUUGUUACAGUCAGAUGUGAAAUUCCCGGGCUUAACCUGGGGGCUGCAUUUGAUACGUGACGACUAGAGUGUGAGAGAGGGUUGUGGAAUUCCCAGUGUAGAGGUGAAAUUCGUAGAUAUUGGGAAGAACACCGGUGGCGAAGGCGGCAACCUGGCUCAUGACUGACGCUGAGGCGCGAAAGCGUGGGGAGCAAAUAGGAUUAGAUACCCCUGUAGUC